UACGUAGGGUGCGAGGCGUUGUCCGGAAUUAUUGGGCGUAAAGGAGCUACGUAGGCGGUUUGUCACGUCUGCUGUGAAUCCCGAACGGCUCAACCUCGGGCCUGCAGUGGGUACGGGCAGACUGGAGUGCGGUAGGGGAGAAUGGAAUUCCUGGUGUAGCGGUGGAAUGCGCAGAUAUCAGGAGGAACACCGGUGGCGAAGGCGGGUCUCUGGGCAGUAACUGACGCUGAGGAGCGAAAGCGUGGGGAGCGAACAGG
rnacentral:rRNA from 1 species